rnacentral:rRNA from 1 species
GAUGAACGCUAGCGGCAGGCUUAAUACAUGCAAGUCGUGGGGCAGCGCAGUGUAGAAAUACAUGGGCGGCGACCGGCAAACGGGUGCGUAACACGUACGCAACCUUCCCGUUACUGGGGAAUAGCCCAGGGAAACUUGGAUUAAUACCCCAUAUUAUAUUGAUUGGGCAUCUAAUUAAUAUCAAAGCUUCGGCGGUAAGGGAUGGGCGUGCGGUUGAUUAGGUAGUUGGCGGGGUAACGGCCCACCAAGCCUACGAUCAAUAGAUGUUAUAAGAGCAUGAUAAGCCAGACGGGCACUGAGACACGGGCCCGACUCCUACGGGAGGCAGCAGUGGGGAAUAUUGCACAAUGGGCGCAAGCCUGAUGCAGCAACGCCGCGUGCGGGAUGACGGCCUUCGGGUUGUAAACCGCUUUUAGUAAGGAAGAAGGGGCUUCGGCCUUGACGGUACUUGCAGAAAAAGGACCGGCUAACUACGUGCCAGCCGCCGCAGUAAUAC